rnacentral:lncRNA from 7 species
AGACUAGUACCAUCUUUCUUGACGUUGCAUUUCCAAACUCAAAACAUACGAUAGUAGAUCUUAGUCCGGCAGCAAAAACGACUAGCGUCGCUUCAACAACAAAUAUAGAAGAAGAAAUAACUCAUAGAGAGAUAUUAUAAGCUACUUUACCUCCUUACCUGCUUGCUUAGCAGGAUGCGUAUAUACCAGACCUAAGUUACCUACUUUCCUCUCCUCUACUAUGAAAAGAAAGAAAGCCUACUACUCUUGUGUUGACUACAGAAAAGAAAGAACGCAUAUCGUAGUCAGUUAAGCGAGAGUGACUUUUGCUUACGGGAAGCAGCACAGGCGAAGUACUCUCGUGAAUAGAAAUAAAACCGCUAGUUCAAAGCAGUUCAAGCCAAAAAGAAUAACAUCUUUCGAUAGGACUCAGUUCCAAGCACGGUGGACUGCGGGAUGCUUACUCACAUCUCUCUUUCAGGAUUGAUUCCUGCUCACGAUAGCUUGCUUGGCUACUUUACUAUACCUCUGAAUCCUUCUCUACCCAACUGACAUAUCUCUAUUCUCCGCAGCAUCACUCAGUCUCUAAGGGAAGAGCUCACUCUCCCAACUAUCCAGAUAGGUAUCUCAUUGAUCUUUCAUUUUCUUGAUCUUCUAUUAAAUGAUGAACUUGCUAAUGCAACUUAUUCUACUAAAUGCUAGAAGCAAACCAACAUGCUAGAGACAAAGCUAACAACUACUAUU